GUGGGGAAUAUUGGACAAUGGGCGCAAGUCUGAUCCAGCCAUACCGCGUGGGUGAAGAAGGCCUUCGGGUUGUAAAGCCCUUUUGUUGGGAAAGAAAUCCUGUCGGUUAAUACCUGGCGGGGAUGACGGUACCCAAAGAAUAAGCACCGGCUAACUUCGUGCCAGCAGCCGCGGUAAUACGAAGGGUGCAAGCGUUACUCGGAAUUACUGGGCGUAAAGCGUGCGUAGGUGGUGGUUUAAGUCCGUUGUGAAAGCCCUGGGCUCAACCUGGGAAUUGCAGUGGAUACUGGAUCACUAGAGUGUGGUAGAGGGAUGCGGAAUUUCUGGUGUAGCAGUGAAAUGCGUAGAGAUCAGAAGGAACAUCCGUGGCGAAGGCGGCAUCCUGGGCCAACACUGACACUGAGGCACGAAAGCGUGGGGAGCAAACAGGAUUAGAAACCCCUGUAGUCC
rnacentral:rRNA from 1 species